AACGCAAAUUGCACUCCCUGGUAUUCCGGGGAGUAUGCCUGUUUGAGGGUCAGUUUAAAUAAAGAUCGAGGUGUUGCUUCUUGUGACGCAUCGGAAUUGGGUUAUCUUUGUGUCCUUCGGAUUUUUAAGAGACCUAAAAUUGAUACCUUGUGCAUCUCAGACGUACAUAAGAAAUUUUUUUUUUUUUAUCCGUCCCGAGUGCCAAUUCUUAUUAGGUAUGACCAUGGUUAAUUCUCGUGGCAUUGUACCUAUAAUAUACUCAUAUGUUGACCUCAAAUCAGGUAGGAGUACCCGCUGAACUUAA
rnacentral:misc_RNA from 1 species